UACGUAGGGGGCAAGCGUUGUCCGGAUUUAUUGGGCGUAAAGAGCGUGUAGGCGGUCUGGUAGGUCCGUUGUGAAAACUCGAGGCUCAACCUCGAGACGCCGAUGGAAACCCUCAGACUAGAGUCCGGAAGAGGAGAGUGGAAUUCCUGGUGUAGCGGUGAAAUGCGCAGAUAUCAAGCGGAACACCGGUGGCGAAGGCGGCCUUCUGGACAGUGACUGACGCUGAGACGCGAAAGCGUGGGGAGCAAACAGG
rnacentral:rRNA from 1 species